UACAGAGGGUGCAAGCGUUUAAUCGGAUUUACUGGGCGUAAAGCGUGCGUAGGCGGUUCAUUAAGUCGGUUGUGAAAUCCCUGGGCUUAACUUGGGAAUUGCAUUCGAUACUGGUUAGCUAGAGUGUGGGAGAGGAUGGUAGAAUUCCAGGUGUAGCGGUGAAAUGCGUAGAGAUCUGGAGGAAUACCGAUGGCGAAGGCAGCCAUCUGGCCUAACACUGACGCUGAGGUGCGAAAGCAUGGGGGAGCAAACAGG
rnacentral:rRNA from 1 species